rnacentral:sRNA from 1 species
CAGAUGGCAAUGGAGAUCAAUCCUCCAACCACAACAUAGACAGAUUCCUCACUCUUGCACCUCACUCCUGGCUUAGAGAGAGACCCCUUCUAAGAGUGAGAGGGGAGUUAAGUCUCCAUAACCCAUUCAAUCCAGGCCUUUC